GGCCUGGUAGCAUAGUUGGUUAGUGCGCCUGCAGGAAAUCGGUUGUUUCUCGAAGUCUUCUGCAGAAUGAUCCCUGUUCGACUCAGGGUCAGGUCA